rnacentral:rRNA from 1 species
CUAGGGGUGCUUCCAUCUGGAAGAAUCUGGAGACAGGUGCUGCAUGGCUGUCGUCAGCUCGUGUCGUGAGAUGUUGGGUUAAGUCCCGCAACGAGCGCAACCCUUGCCUUUAGUUGCCAGCAGUUCGGACUGGGCACUCUAAAGGGGACUGCCGGUGUUAAACCGGAGGAAGGUGGGGAUGACGUCAAGUCCUCAUGGCCUUUAUGACCAGGGCUACACACGUACUACAAUGGCCGAUACAAAGGGCAGCGACACUGCGAGGUGAAGCCAAUCCCGUAAAAUCGGUCUCAGUCCGGAUUGGAGUCUGCAACUCGACUCCAUGAAGUUGGAAUCGCUAGUAAUCGUGGAUCAGCAUGCCACGGUGAAUACGUUCCCGGGCCUU